GUUUAUUUGUAUCCCGCCACCAUCUCCCCCGGGGCAGCUCACAGAAGUAUCAAAUAUAAAACAAUAACAAUAUACAAUACAUCAAUAAACAAUAACAUGCACCAAUUGUAAUAUUUGCAAAUUAACCAAAAAGAAUAAAAACACACUUAUUAAAAACAUAGAAUUUAAAAACAGUGAGGUUGUAAUAGUAGAUUAGCAAAGUGCACAUAAGUUGUAAACUCAAAACAUAGAUAAAGUGCUACACAUUCGUUUGAGGUCAAUUUGGGAUGAGAGGAGCCCUGAGGUAAUGUCAGAUAACCAGAAGUGUGACCAAUGCAGAAAGGUCAGGAAAUAUAGUUAUGAUUAUGAUGGGGAUUGGCGAUCUUAACCAAAGGCCUGGGUGAAAAGCCAGGUUUUCAGGCUCUUCCGAAAUGCCAUCAGGGUGGGGGCUUGCCUGAUCUCCAUGGGGAGCGAGUUCCAGAACCAGGGGGCCACUACAGAGAAGGCCCUCUCUCUCGUCCCCACCAACCGCGCUUGUGACCGGUGGAAGCGAGAGGAGGGCCUCCCCGACAAAGGAAGAGAUCGAACUUCCAAGGCCACAUGUUUCCACAUCGUAUUCUUUCCCUCUAAAGUAGUGUCUUAUUGCUGUGGUGCAGCAAUAAGUUAUAGUAACCCUAAAGCAAAGCUAUCAGUGUUUUGUUUUUUGGCAGGAUUUAUUCAGAAAAGCAAUCCCUCUCCCCUCUCAUUUCCACCCCCUAAAUAUGUUAGAAUUUGUAUAUAAGUAUAUUCCUGAUUAAUUAUGAAGUCAGGACGAUUAGACAAAUCUUGGUGGCUGAUGUAAUCAUGUUUCUAAUGCAACUAUGUAGUAAUCCCAGACAAUAAGAAUGAAGUAAUGUAAUAGUUGUUUCAUUAAUAUUUGUAUACAUUGGGACAGCAAAUAUAACAUUUCACCUCAAUGUGGAUUGGUAUUGCUGAUUGGCGUUGUUGCUGUUUUCUUGGAGAAAGAGAUAGGUUGAAGAAUGUGUUGUUGAGUAGAAAUAGAGAGAUUGUUUUAUUCAGACUGUUUUGUAUUGCUGAACUACAAGAGAGAAAACCUUCCUGUUUUGGAAAUAUACUCUGUGUCUUCUGUUCAAAUCAGGUAAACUCCAGGGUUGCUAAGAACCAGAGCUACUUGUAUACAGACUAAAUGCUAAGGUGAGAAGCCCCAGAAGCAUCAGAAGAGCCACAAGCAACUAAGAUUUCAGCAAGAGCUUCAGCUUUAGAACAAGUCAGAAACAUGGCGAUGUCAAGCCUUUUUUGGCUGUGAUCUAUGUGGUAAAGGCUUCCAGAGAACGGUGGAUCUGCGGCCACGUGGAAUCAUCAGAAACAGUGAAUGGAUAUGCUGCCUGGUACCUGCAAACUAGGAAGUUCCUUCUGUUCCCCAGUUCUCCUUUUUCUGAAAAAGUUUUCUUAGGAAGACUGAGUUCCAUGAGUUUAUGUGGUUAACACACUGUUCAGUGUGACAAAUAGACUGAUUGUGUCUUCAUUUGCAACACUUUAUAGCUAAAACUGGUUGAAAAUGAAGUAUUUUCAAUCUGGGAACUCCCCCACUCCCAGUUAAUUGGACAGGGAGGGAUUUUGAUCCGUUUCUUUUUGAAUUUCAAUCUUAUCUGUACCAUAAAGAUGGUCACACAUAUGGCAGAGAAAGUCCCAGGCCUGUUCUGUUGCCAAUGAUGUCUUUAAUUCUUGUCAUUUGGGAAAAGCUACAUUAUGGGAUGUGUCUCCAACUGUGGAAAUGCUCUGAAUGUUCAGUCCUCUGAAAUGGCUCCUACAAGUGGUGGAGGUUCUUUCUUUGGAGGCUUUUAAGCAGAGGCUGGAUGACCAUCUAUCGGGGGUGAUUUGAAUGUGGUUUUCCUGCUUCUUGGCAGGGGGUUUAACGAUUCUAUCAUUUUAUGAAAUGCAUUAUGGUACAGUUUGUUCCCCACUUCCUUCCCCCUCCCUCUCCUCACCCUCUCUUCCGCUCCCCUCUCCCCCUACCUUUCAUGUCCCACUUUCCUUCCACUAUUUCCCACCUCUUUGCUCUUCUCCCCUCCACACAUCACACACACCUCAUACACCACACACAGCUCACAGACCUCACACAUCAGACGCCUGAUACAUUUCACAUAUCAGACACAUCAUACAAACCUCACACAUCUCUUAUAUGUCCCAUCUCAUAUCUUCUCUCUUCUUUCUCUGCCCUCUCUUCACUUUUUCUUUUCUCCUUUGCUUUUUUUUGGCUUCUCUUUGUCCUCUUCCUCUUCUUCUCUUUCUCUUUCUUUCUCCCCUAUUCCUCCUUUCCCUCCCCCUCUCCAUUCCCCCUUCCUUUUCUGGUUCGCCCCCUUCUACCUUCUCCCUUUCCCAUUUUCUAGAGCAUUAUCCUGCCCCUCUUCAGCUCUGCUGAACCACAGCCUCAUUUUCUCACUUCUCCCACUUGAUCCUCAGCUUAUUUCAAUUUCUGCAAACUGAAAUCAAAGGAUAUAAAUAGUACACAUUGAAUUGUGAAA